rnacentral:rRNA from 1 species
CCUACGGGAGGCUGCAGUAGGGAAUCUUCCACAAUGGACGAAAGUCUGAUGGAGCAACGCCGCGUGAGUGAAGAAGGGUUUCGGCAUGUAAAGCUCUGUUGGUAGUGAAGAAAGAUAUAGCUAGUAACUGGCCUUUAUUCGACGCUAAUUACUUAGAAAGUCCCGGCUAACUACGUGCCAGCAGCCGCGGGAAUACGUAGGUGGCAAGCGUUGUCCGGAUUUAUUGGGCGUAAGCGAGUGCAGGCGGUGCAAUAAGUCUGCAGUGAAAGCCUUGGGCUCAACCGGAGAAUUGCAUCGGAAACUGUUGGGCUGGAGUGCAGAAGAGGAGAGUGGAACUCCAUGUGUAGCGGUGGAAUGCGUAGAUAUAUGGAAGAACACCAGUGGCGAAGGCGGCUCACUGGACUGCAACUGACGCUGAGGCUCGAAAGCAUGGGUAGCGAACAGGAUUAGAUACCCUUGUAGUC